rnacentral:siRNA from 1 species
AGAUAUAUGUUGUUGGGCUCCA